UACGUAGGGCGCAAGCGUUGUCCGGAAUUAUUGGGCGUAAAGAGCUCGUAGGCGGUCUGUCGCGUCUGCUGUGAAAACUCGGGGCUUAACCCCGGGCCUGCAGUGGGUACGGGCAGACUAGAGUGCGGUAGGGGAGACUGGAAUUCCUGGUGUAGCGGUGAAAUGCGCAGAUAUCAGGAGGAACACCGGUGGCGAAGGCGGGUCUCUGGGCCGUAACUGACGCUGAGGAGCGAAAGCGUGGGGAGCGAGCAGG
rnacentral:rRNA from 1 species